rnacentral:lncRNA from 1 species
CUCUGACUGCAUAGCUUCACUUCACGAGUCACAACUUCACAGUUGAGCAAAAUAAAGCCAAAACAUGCAGCAGCAAGUUCAUUGGUCUUACACAGCCUGCCCAGCUGAACACCCAUAUAAGCCAGCAACAAGGGCUGAAUGAGUCUGCCGCAAGGGUGGGCAGGGGGACCAGGUUAGGGAUGCGUACUCCAUCACAGGCCUGACCUGAGCCCGAUAGAGGGACACUAUCCCCCAACCAUCGAGGAUCUUCCUGGGACAUCUGACACAGCUUAGCUUCCAGACUGCAUCCCUGGUGAUCUUCCUUACAUGAGAGAUGAAGGUUGCAAGAAACAAGUGCAGGUUGCAAGAAACAAGUGAAAGACCUGCCACCCUGCAGUGAGCAAACAUCAUGAGUCCAUGUUAGGAGAGUGCUCAACAGAAUCUACCAGAGGAGUUUCACCACCCCCAGCACCACCAUUUGUCAUAAAACUACAGCCAGCCUUCAGAGCUAGUGCUGGCACUAAAAUGGGGGACCAGCUUCCCUGCUCAGUGCUGAAUAGGAUUAGAAAAGUAACUAGUUCCCUAUGGUCCAAAGAAAAGACUAGAAAUUUUUAAGUGGCUGCUAUAUAUAUAAACUGCAAAAAAUCAAUGAAUGAAAGUUUUUAAAUUGUAUAUAAAUUC